AGUGAAGCGGCAAGAGCUCAAAUUUGAAAGCUGGCUCCUUCGGGGUCCGCAUUGUAAUUUGUAGAGGAUGCUUCGGGAGCGGUCCCCAUCUAAGUGCCCUGGAACGGGACGUCAUAGAGGGUGAGAAUCCCGUAUGGGAUGGGGUGUCCGCGCCCGUGUGAAGCUCCUUCGACGAGUCGAGUUGUUUGGGAAUGCAGCUCUAAAUGGGUGGUAAAUUUCAUCUAAAGCUAAAUAUUGGCCGGAGACCGAUAGCGCACAAGUAGAGUGAUCGAAAGAUGAAAAGCACUUUGAAAAGAGAGUUAAAAAGCACGUGAAAUUGUUGAAAGGGAAGCGCUUGCGACCAGACUCGCUCGCGGGGUUCAGCCGGCAUUCGUGCCGGUGUACUUCCCCGCGGGCGGGCCAGCGUCGGUUUGGGCGGUCGGUCAAAGGCCCUCGGAAGGUAACGCCCCUAGGGGCGUCUUAUAGCCGAGGGUGCAAUGCGACCUGCCUAGACCGAGGAACGCGCUCGG
rnacentral:rRNA from 1 species